AAGUCGUAACAAGGUCUCCGUAGGUGAACCUGCGGAGGGAUCAUUAACACUAUUUGGCUGUGUUUUACACAGUUCAAAUUAUUCACACUUGUUGAACUCGGUUAUGAAAAUAACCAAUUCUCCCUUUGAAAUAGAAAUUGUUUGGAUCCGAUUUGUAGUGGGCUCUCAAAACCUUCGGGUUGCGACGGCAAUCUGUCCAAACUAUCAAAGCUUCGACUUUGAAAAUUUCUUUUCUUAGGCAAUUUUAAAAAUUUCAGCCGCUACAGAAAUGAACCCCUUAUUCACACCUUUGUACUCCAAUAAACUGAUUACGAGGAAUUAUUACAGCAAUGUCUUAAUUCUUUCAAGAUUUUCUAAACUAAGCACACCUCUUAGCAACGGAUAUCUUGGUUCUC
rnacentral:misc_RNA from 1 species